AUAUCUCAACAAAAAACAAUCUUGUUAUUUGUUGGACUUUGAAGGCUUGCUGGCUUAAUUUGUCAGCUCCUUUUAAAUGUAUUAGCAAAUUCAAGUGAAAAUUGGCUUCAGAUUGAUAAUUAACUUAUCUAUGCUGCUGCUGAAUCACUAAGAAUUAGCUUAUAGCUGUCCUUGAAGGACUGUCUAAACUUUAGACACUUUUGAU
rnacentral:misc_RNA from 1 species